rnacentral:tRNA from 1 species
UGUGGUUCAGCGGAUCCGGGCCCACCCUUGUUAAGGGUAUGUCCCGUGGGUUCGAUUCCCGCCAGGAA